rnacentral:misc_RNA from 1 species
UCCCCGUUUGAGCGAGGCAGUCUGUCCAGAGUCCUCGGCAUGACCCGGUAGCAACUGGGAGCGGGGGUUGCGCUCGUUGCGGGACUUAACCCAACAUCUCACGACACGAGCUGACGACAGCCAUGCAGCACCUGUCUUGGAGCUCCGAAGAGGGGCCGUGGUUUCUCACAGCUUUCCCCAAGAUGUCAAGCCCAGGUAAGGUUCUUCGCGUUGCGUCGAAUUAAACCACAUGCUCCACCGCUUGUGCGGGCCCCCGUCAAUUCCUUUGAGUUUCAGCCUUGCGGCCGUACUCCCCAGGCGGGGCACUUAAUGCGUUAGCGCCGGCACCCAGGGGGUCGCUCCCCCAGGCACCUAGUGCCCAUCGUUUACGGCGUGGACUAC